GGCUUCAUCAUGAUAUUUUGCUCUUCCUUUCUCUGAGCUGCUUUCCUAAAACUAUGAUUUUAAGAAUGGAAUUUGUUUCUUGUGGGAUUCCAGUAACAAGUGGAUGGACAGCGUGGAAGAUAAAUCCUAGAAAAAGUUGCAAGGAAUGCAUUUUAGCUUCUGGAGAGACACAUGAAACAGAGUACUGGACAACCAGAAAGAGCAAAAAGAGGGACGGUGAGAAACAAAUUGCAUUAGAGAGCCUGAGAUAUCUAUGUCAAGAGCAAAGAACGCACCUCACUGUGGAUGGAUCUGCAACUUUUCUACUUCUUGCUGAACACUUGUACAGAGUUUUUGGAAUUUCAGGAGAAAACUGCAGUUGCAGGUGUCCUUUUGGAUGGUACCUGGGUCAAUAAAUGCCAGAGACAGAGCACUGGCACAGGGUGCUGAGAGAAGCUGCAGAGUCUUCUCCUUGGAGAUCUUCUGAAGACACCUGGACAUGGUCCCAGGCACUCUGCUCUGGGUGUCCCAGCUUGAGUAGGGACUGGGUGAGAUGGACCCUGGAGACUACUUCCAGCCCCAACCAUUCUGUGAUCCUGUGAGCAAAUGCAAUGUGCAAAGCUGGCUGAUAUCCAGUCUGUGUCCAAGAAAGCAAUUAGCUACCACUAAACAAGUGAAGUUUAAGCAGAUUCAGUGACUUGAAGCAGCCUUUAAUAUAUAGAUGAAAAACUAGAGGUUCUGAAAGGGAAGCAAACAGAAUACACAGCUUCAUAGAUACAUACAGAGCAUACAGCUCAUUUUGUAUUCCCUCUGUCUUGAGGGCACCUUGCACAGUCACAGCUCCUAUAAAUUAGAGCAGCUGGUGGGAGACCAUAUCUUAUGCUGGUGUGCAUAAUGGCUGCCUCACCUCCUGCACUAGUUCUCACCCUGCACCUUCCAAAACGAUGUGACCUCAUAGCCUUUGUGUUGGCCACAUGCCAGAGGCAUUAAACUAACACCUUUCAUGCUAGUCUUGCUCUCCUUGCCUUGCAGAAAGAGCCCAAUUUACUUUACUUGUAUCUUUAAAGCCCUGAACCUAUUCAUCAUAAAAGAAUGAUAUUUCCUUGUAUUCCCCAUGUGCUUCUUCACUAGCUCUCUGGUGCAAGUCCCAAAGGCAAUGAUUUCAUCCAGAGUGACCUUUGCAGAGCAGAUGGAGAAAGGGCUACUUGGUUAGAAGACGACUGCCCAUCUCAUCUUCUCCAAGCAACAGGAUUCAUCUGAGACCUUUAGAUUAUCAAAGCCUAGUAAAAAUGAUUCAGUGUGUCCCAUUUACUUGCAUUCAGAUCCUCUCUUACUAUAAUAAACCGUGUAUUAGAAAAAUACACAGAAAAAUUUCAUCAAAAUAAAUAUUACUGUAGCAGCCUCAGGUUUUCUAAUUCUCAGUUUUAGAUACCAGGCUCGUAUUUACUGAGUAUAGUUUCUACCAGGAGCAUACGGGAGUAGCUGCAUUCCUUUAAUGCUAGCUCUGCAAGUUUGUGAAUCCUACUGAGCCACAUGGGAUUUGACCUGCAAGGAGAGAUCAAAAUGGGUACAGAGAAUGGCAGAUUCACAGUGCGGCCACAUUUUAUCAUCUUGCAUUCCUGCUGAAGGAGAAUGACACUAUUAUUCCAAACAAAAAAAGAUUUUAGUGGUAAAUGAAGGGGCCAAGAAAGUCGCUGCAAAGCCCACAGCCAAAGGCAGGAUAGUUUUUCACUGUCCUGGGAAGCACAGUUUUGUGCUAUACUCUUUCCAAGUGUGUGUUUGUCUUAUUCACAGUUAACACUAUUCAAGUUAAAUUAAAUGAGUAGUUGAAAAUUAAGUGUUCCUGGUCUGAAUCAAUUUUCACAAAGCAUUAAAUAAUUAUGCAAAAACUGACAGUACCUUACAGUCUGCAUAGCCUUCAUUUCACCUUUUCCUUAUAUACUACAGGCCUCCAUCCACUCAUUUCUAUUCAUGUGGAUCAGGGCAGGAAAUGAAGAAAUAUAUUGUAUUUAUGUAUAAAUAUUUGAAAAAAUAGCACAUUGGCAAGUUAUAAUUAGUUUAACAGAGAAAUUGAGU
ensembl:lncRNA